rnacentral:tRNA from 1 species
GAAGAUUUAGUUAAUUCUAUAACGUUAGAGUGUCAACCUAAAAUUAUCUAUGAUAAUCUUUU